AAUCUAGCCUCCUCCACAGGCAACUCUUUGGCAAAAAUUGGCAAAAGUGGUAUUAUGAAUAAAAAAAUUGGCAUGAAAAUUUCAUAAUACUUUUAAUGCCAAUUUGUGCCAAAGAGUUGCCUGCGGAGGAGGCUAGGAC